CGAAGGGGGCUAGCGUUGUUCGGAAUUACUGGGCGUAAAGCGCGCGCAGGCGGUUUUUCAAGUCAGUGGUGAAAGCCCGGAGCUCAACUCCGGAACUGCCAUUGAAACUGUAAAACUUGAGGAUGAGAGAGGUGAGUGGAAUUCCCAGUGUAGAGGUGAAAUUCGUAGACAUUGGGAAGAACACCGGUGGCGAAGGCGGCUCACUGGCUCAUAUCUGACGCUCAGGCGCGACAGCGUGGGGAUCAAACAGGAUUAGAUACCCUGGUAGUCCACGCCGUAAACGAUGAAUGCUAGCCGUUGGGCAGCUUGCUGUUCAGUGGCGCAGCUAACGCAUUAAGCAUUCCGCCUGGGGAGUACGGCCGCAAGGUUG
rnacentral:rRNA from 1 species